rnacentral:rRNA from 1 species
UGGGGAAUUUUGGACAAUGGGGGAAACCCUGAUCCAGCCAUCCCGCGUGUGCGAUGAAGGCCUUCGGGUUGUAAAGCACUUUUGGCAGGAAAGAAACGUCGCGGGUUAAUACCCCGCGAAACUGACGGUACCUGCAGAAUAAGCACCGGCUAACUACGUGCCAGCAGCCGCGGUAAUACGUAGGGUGCAAGCGUUAAUCGGAAUUACUGGGCGUAAAGCGUGCGCAGGCGGUUCGGAAAGAAAGAUGUGAAAUCCCAGAGCUUAACUUUGGAACUGCAUUUUUAACUACCGGGCUAGAGUGUGUCAGAGGGAGGUGGAAUUCCGCGUGUAGCAGUGAAAUGCGUAGAUAUGCGGAGGAACACCGAUGGCGAAGGCAGCCUCCUGGGAUAACACUGACGCUCAUGCACGAAAGCGUGGGGAGCAAACAGGAUUAGAUACCCUGGUAGUCCACGCCCUAAACGAUGUCAACUAGCUGUUGGGGCCUUCGGGCCUUGGUAGCGCAGCUAACGCGUGAAGUUGACCGCCUGGGGAGUACGGUCGCAAGAUUAAAACUCAAAGGAAUU